GUUUCUUUUUUCUAUGUUGCGGUUUUUGUCUAGUUUAAAUUUUCUAUGUUGUGUUCUAGGUUCUUUUUUCUAUGUUUUUUUUGUCUGAUUCCCAAUUAGAGGCAGCUGGUCAUCGUUGUCUCUAAUUGGGGAUCAUAUUUAAGUUGUUGUUUUUCCCACUAGUGUUUGUGGGAGAUUAUUUUGAGUUUAUGCAUGUAGCACCGCUUCGUCACAGUUUGUUGUUUUUGUUUAUAGUUUAUUGUCUGUCUUGCAUAGUUUCACAUAGAAAUAAAGAUGUGGAACGAUACGCACGCUGCGCCUUGGUCUCUUUCAUACGACAGCCGUGAUAAUGUUACAUUUUAUAUCAACUACUCAUGUUGAAUUUGUCUAAUUUAUGUAUUGGGGCAGCCUGUUCUGUCCUCAGUAUUUCAGACCAAAGCAAGACAAUGUUUAAAGCUGUGGAUCUACAAACAGGUAUCACACUACCCGGCAAUACAUGGAUGUGUGCACGGCACUCAUUCAAAAGUACUCCUCGUUGAGAGACCAGAUGGGGAAGGGAUAUUUCUCAAAGUCACUGCAGCCAUUUUCCCCCUCCCCUACCUCAAAGAUGAUCCAAGUGGGCUGAAUGUCACACGACAGUACAAAGAUAGAGGGGAAUCCCUUUGCGAAUGAGAACCACGUCCAACUCUUCCUGGAUGGACAGGAGCUAAUAACUGAAGAGCCGGAGGACAUCUCCAUGGGGAUGGCAAUGGAGAUCCGUUUCCUUUUUAAAUUACAGCUAAUGUCAGGGUUAAUUCAACAAGAGAAAAGCUGCUAAAUAGACAGUUGAAAAUAAAAAGAAGAGAGAUGUAAUGUUUGAGAAAGAUUUGGUGAAGUGGUAACAGAGCACUGCAAGAAAUGCUUCAUUCUGCAGGAGUUAUUAUUAAGGCUAUGUGAAAGGAUAUAGACCGACAGUCAGUGUCCAGAUUUCAGUUAUCAUUUAACCUAUCUGAACAGUAGGUUACAGUUCCCAUGACGUGCCAUAGGACUAUUUGAAGUCCCAGUCAGUUGACUGUUGAAUUUCUAUAGCACAGGAGCUCUUCGGAGCCCUCUACAUUGUUAAAAAAUGUGUAUGGCGAAAUAGUAUGGAGCUCAAUUUGGCCUCUGCAUGCCUUCAGAGGCUCCACAAUUGCAUCAAACCCUCCAUAUGAAGCCUCCGACCACAUUUACG
rnacentral:lncRNA from 1 species